GAAAAACCUUACCCACCUUUGACAUGUACGGAAUUUGCCAGAGAUGGGUUAGUUCUCGAAAGAGACCCGUAACACAGGUGCUGCAUGGCUGUCGUCAGCUCGUGUCGUGAGAUGUUGGGUUAAGUCCCGCAACGAGCGCAACCCUUGCCAUUAGUUGCUACAUUCAGUUGGGCACUUUAAUGAGACUGCCGGUGACAAACCGGAGGAAGGUGGGGAUGACGUCAAGUCCUCAUGGCCCUUAUAGGUGGGGCUACACACGUCAUACAAUGGCCGGUACAAAGGGUCGCCAACCCGCGAGGGGGAGCCAAUCCCUCAAAGCCGGUCGUAGUCCGGAUCGCAGUCUGCAACUCGACUGCGUGAAGUGCGGAAUCGCUAGUA
rnacentral:rRNA from 1 species